UACGUAGGGCGCAAGCGUUGUCCGGAAUUAUUGGGCGUAAAGAGCUCGUAGGCGGUUUGUCACGUCGGGUGUGAAAGCCCGGGGCUUAACCCCGGGUCUGCAUUCGAUACGGGCAGACUGGAGUGUGGUAGGGGAGAUCGGAAUUCCUGGUGUAGCGGUGAAAUGCGCAGAUAUCAGGAGGAACACCGGUGGCGAAGGCGGAUCUCUGGGCCAUUACUGACGCUGAGGAGCGAAAGCGUGGGGAGCGAACAGG
rnacentral:rRNA from 1 species